GCCAAUGACUAUGCUACCCUGAACCAGCCCAGUCUUAUCCAGAAAGCUAAGCAGGGUUGGGCCUGGUUAGGACUUGGAUGGGAAAACGUUCUAUAGUGGCUGGAAAGAUGGCCCAGCAGUUAAGCU
rnacentral:rRNA from 1 species